rnacentral:rRNA from 1 species
GGAUUCCCUUAGUAGCGGCGAGCGAAACGGGAAAAGCCCAGCACUAAGUUCUCUAAUCUGUUGUGGGUUAGUAGAAGAUGCAGUGUAUGGAGAGUCUACUAUCUCAUAUGUUACGGCAAUACGUUCAAGUCCUUCUUGAAUGGGGCCCAUUUACCCAUAGAGGGUGCCAGGCCCGUAGUGACUGUUGUCCGUUUGCAUGAGAAGACUUCUCUUAAGAGUCGUGUUGCUUGAUAGUGCAGCACUAAGUUGGUGGUAAACUCCAUCUAAGGCUAAAUACAACC